UAUCAAAAACAAAAUGUUUUAUUGAUCGUUUGUACAUAUUAUUUUCAUAUCAACCAUAAAGAAGUGUGCUACAGAUACUCUAACUACUCUUCGUUUAACAAAGUUGCCGCAUUAAGUACUCUCGACCGUUUUGUUGUACAGUCUUGUCGUGCUCAAUUCAAUUAUCGAUAACAUGCGCCUAGCCUUUGUGACGGGCCGAUAAGAAAGCGUUCGCUAAUUGUCUUCAAUUCCGUCAUGGCUGAAACAUUUUCAUUCCACAGAGUUGCCAACCCGCACACAAUGAGAGAUUAUCGAUAACAAAUGUGGCUUUGUGGCUUUUUCUGUUUUGUCGGCAGUCGCCAGCCGUGUCCUUGCCGGCGUGUUGGAGUCUCUGCGUUCCCUUUGAAGCGCUGUGUGUCAACAGCAACAACAACAACAACAACAGCAACUGUAACAGUAACGACAACGGCAACGGUAAAAGCAAAACAGAAAUGAAAAACUGGCGAACAAAGGCAAAGCAUGCACGCUGCAGCGUGCCCUGUACAAGUGUUGCCAUUUAUCGCAGUCAGAAGAAAUGAUUGCAGAAAAUCCAACUGAUUUUAAAACAUUUCCAUUUCCAUUUCACUCAAAGAUUUCCGUUUAUUUUCCACACGGUUAAGCGGAUAAGCAAAAAUGAAAACAACGAAAUACGAGUGAAAAGAACUAGAUAAAUAUUGUUUUAAAUUUUUG